CUGACCUCGGAUCAGGUAGCUCCCG
rnacentral:rRNA from 1 species